rnacentral:rRNA from 1 species
UACAGAGGGUGCAAGCGUUAAUCGGAAUUACUGGGCGUAAAGCGCGCGUAGGUGGUUUGUUAAGUUGGAUGUGAAAUCCCCGGGCUCAACCUGGGAACUGCAUCCAAAACUGGCAAGCUAGAGUAUGGUAGAGGGUGGUGGAAUUUCCUGUGUAGCGGUGAAAUGCGUAGAUAUCUGGGGGAAUACCGGUGGCGAAGGCGGCAUCCUGGACCAUUACUGACGCUGAGGCGCGAAAGCUAGGGGAGCAAACGGG